rnacentral:rRNA from 1 species
CAGUAGCCGCGGUAAUACGAGGGGAGCUAGCGUUGUUCGGAAUUACUGGGCGUAAAGCGCGCGUAGGCGGCUUUUUAAGUCAGAGGUGAAAGCCCGGGGCUCAACCCCGGAAUUGCCUUUGAAACUGGAAAGCUAGAAUCUUGGAGAGGUCAGUGGAAUUCCGAGUGUAGAGGUGAAAUUCGUAGAUAUUCGGAAGAACACCAGUGGCGAAGGCGACUGACUGGACAAGUAUUGACGCUGAGGUGCGAAAGCGUGGGGAGCAAACAGGAUUAGAGACCCCCGUAGUCCCUGUCUCUUAUAA